rnacentral:rRNA from 1 species
UACCCUGGUAGUCCACGCCGUAAACGAUGUCUACUUGGAGGUUGUGCCCUUGAGGCGUGGCUUCCGGAGCUAACGCGUUAAGUAGACCGCCUGGGGAGUACGGCCGCAAGGUUAAAACUCAAAUGAAUUGACGGGGGCCCGCACAAGCGGUGGAGCAUGUGGUUUAAUUCGAUGCAACGCGAAGAACCUUACCUGGUCUUGACAUCCACAGAACUUUCCAGAGAUGGAUUGGUGCCUUCGGGAACUGUGAGACAGGUGCUGCAUGGCUGUCGUCAGCUCGUGUUGUGAAAUGUUGGGUUAAGUCCCGCAACGAGCGCAACCCUUAUCCUUUGUUGCCAGCGAUUAGGUCGGGAACUCAAAGGAGACUGCCAGUGAUAAACUGGAGGAAGGUGGGGAUGACGUCAAGUCAUCAUGGCCCUUACGACCAGGGCUACACACGUGCUACAAUGGCGCAUACAAAGAGAAGCGACCUCGCGAGAGCAAGCGGACCUCAUAAAGUGCGUCGUAGUCCGGAUUGGAGUCUGCAACUCGACUCCAUGAAGUCGGAAUCGCUAGUAAUCGUGGAUCAGAAUGCCACGGUGAAUACGUUCCCGGGCCUUGUACACACCGCCCGUCACACCAUGGGAGUGGGUUGCAAAAGAAGUAGGUAGCUUAACCUUCGGGAGGGCGCUUACCACUUUGUGAUUCAUGACUGGGGUGAAGUCGUAACAAGGUAACCGUAGGGGAACCUGCGGUUGGA